CAAUGCAAUAUUACUCAGCUAUAACAAAAGAAUGACGUCUUCCCAUUUACAACAGCAUGGAGGGACCUAUGGUAUUAUGUUAAGUGAAAUAAGUCAGUCAGAGUAACACAAAUACCAUAUGAUUUCACUUAUAUGUGGACUCUAAAGAAAAAAAUAAAUGAACAAACAAAAUUGAAACAUACUCCUAGAUACAGAGACCUGACCUGUGGUUGCCAGAGGAGGUGGGGUUGGGAGUAAAAGAGUUGAAGGGAUUAAGAAGUAGAUUGGUAGUUGCAAAAUAAUCAUGGGGAUAUAAAAGUACAACAUAGGGAAUAUAGUCAAUAAUAUUGUAAUAACUAUGUAUGGUGUCAGGUGGGUGCUAGAAUUUCAGAAAAAGUUUGUGAUUCUGACCACAAAAGUAAAUUAUAGUACUGUACUUAAUCUAGCUCUGGUUCUUGUCAUUUAGCAUUACACAGUCACCUAGCCUUUUUAUCCGCCAGGAAUUUUGUUUACUCUUUGAAGUUAUUUAUAACCAGAACACCUCCUCCAAGGGGAAAAUUUUUUUUUAAAGAAAAAGCAUUGCUUGGAAUAUUUAGAAUCCAAAAUAUAGGAAGGGGGUAGAGAUGGUAUAAGAAAUUAUUAAAUUGGGAGGAGGAGAGGGCUAAUGUAGAAACUAUUGCAUGCAUGGUGUUCAUAAUCUGAAAGAUGCUAUGUUCCCUUUUACUUAGAAUAAUGAAACUUUGAGUUGGGUGGAAAGAAGAUUAAGGAUCCACAAUGUGACUCAAACCUUGUUCCACCUCCAAACCUUCCAACUUGAAGAAAUAAACAUAUGUUGAAGGUCACAACAAUGAAGUAUAGAUCGGAUAAAGACCAUGGAAUCCCAGUGCUUCUGGUAACAAUGUAAA